GAAUCUUGCGCAAUGGGCGAAAGCCUGACGCAGCAACGCCGCGUGCGGGAUGAAGGCCUUCGGGUUGUAAAGCACUUUUGUUGGGGAAGAAAAGCCAUGGGCUAAUACCCUGUGGUUCUGACGGUACCCAAAGAAUAAGCACCGGCUAACUUCGUGCCAGCAGCCGCGGUAAUACGAAGGGUGCAAGCGUUACUCGGAAUUACUGGGCGUAAAGCGUGCGUAGGUGGUUUGUUAAGUCUGAUGUGAAAGCCCUGGGCUCAACCUGGGAAUGGCAUUGGAAACUGGCUGACUGGAGUGCGGUAGAGGGUAGUGGAAUUCCCGGUGUAGCAGUGAAAUGCGUAGAUAUCGGGAGGAACAUCCGUGGCGAAGGCGACUACCUGGACCAGCACUGACACUGAGGCACGAAAGCGUGGGGAGCAAACAG
rnacentral:rRNA from 1 species